rnacentral:rRNA from 1 species
CAGCCGCCGCGGUAAUACGGAGGGUGCAAGCGUUAAUCGGAAUUACUGGGCGUAAAGCGCACGCAGGCGGUCUGACAAGUCAGAUGUGAAAUCCCCGGGCUUAACCUGGGAACUGCAUUUGAAACUGUCAGGCUGGAGUCUUGUAGAGGGGGGUGGAAUUCCAGGUGUAGCGGUGAAAUGCGUAGAGAUCUGGAGGAAUACCGGUGGCGAAGGCGGCCCCCUGGACAAAGACUGACGCUCAGGUGCGAAAGCGUGGGGAGCAAACAGGAUUAGAUACCCCAGUACCCGUCUCUUAUACACA